UACAGAUGCGACUGCACAUGGUUUGGGUGCAGUGCUGUACCGGAAAAAAAAGGAGAAGGAUGGAUUCCCAUUUCAUAUGCAAGUCGGACUCUGACAGAAGCUAAGAAGAGGUAUGCUCCUAUAGAAAAGGAAGCUCUAGCAGUGGUUUGUGCUUGCGAAUAUUUUGCUGAAUUUAUUUGAGGGAAGAAAUAUCAAAUCGAGACGGAUCAUAAGCCAUUAGAGUGUCUGUUGGGAAGUACACCAUUACCUGAUUUGCCUCUAAGAAUGCAGAGAUUUAAGCUAUGUUUGCAGUGGUAUGAUUAUGAUAUAAGGUACAUCUCAGGAGAAACGCAACAUAUAGUGGAUUUUUUUAGUAGAAGAGGGAAGGAUGCCUCAAAGGAUAGUCAUCCGUCGUCAGACAAAAGGAUUGAAGCUGAUAUUAAUUAUAUUACUAUAGGAAUAAUCGAUGGUAUUCCAGUAUUUGACAAGCGUUUAGUUGAAAUAGCAGGGUUGACUAUGGAAGAUCCGAAAAUAUUCACCAAAUUCCAGAGGAAAUUAGACCGUUUUAUCAAUAUCGUGAUAACAUUUUUCGUUGGAGGUAAUUUAGCUGUUUACGGAGAGAGAAUAGUAAUACCUUUGGAAUUACGGUGUGAUAUACUACAUCGGUUGCAUGAAGGACAUUUGAUGUGAUAUAUUCAUGUGGAAAGUGCGUGGAGUUUGAAAGCAAGAGUUAACUUUAAUACGUAGUGAGUGGCUAUCAGGACCAUGAAAACUUGUUGUCUGUGAUUUAUUUAUGUUUCAAAGAAAAGACUAUCUUAUAGUAGUGAACUAUUACAGUAGAUACAUCAAAAUAUAAGUCGAAGGUCCACAUCAAUAGUAGAAGUACUGAAGUCAGUAUUUGAUAGACAUGGUAUUCCUGAGAUGUUGGUUUCAGACAAUGGACCAUGUUUUACGAGUCGGGAGUUUUCAGAUUUUGCAAAGGAGUGGGGGUUUAAUCAGAUUUUCUCAUGUUCAAAACAGUCACACCAGAAUGGGUUAGCUGAAAGAGGCGUGCAAGCCGUAAAAAACUUUUUGGAAAAAAAUCAAGAUGCAGAAGACGCUUUACUGGCGUACAGGUCGGCUCCAUUGCAAAAUGAAAAAUCACCUCCUCAGCUCCUCUUUAAUAGUGAGGUCAGAACAAAGGUGCCAAGGAUUAUAAGGAAGCUGGAUGAUGAGGAACUGAGAAAAAUUGAGGAACAGCAGCGAAAGGCUAGUGAAAAUUAUGAUAAUGAACAUCAUCGAGUGGUUCGAAAAAUAAACUUGGAGAGAAGGGACAUCUUGAAGGUACCAGACCUAAACAGAGAGGGAUACAUCGAAAAGAGAAAUGGGAGAAGGGUGAACGUAAGAAUAGGAAAGCAAGCCUAUGUCAGAACUCUGGCACAAUUACGAAAGGUGGAGUUUUGAAGGAAGAAAGGAUGGAUUGUUUAUAUUUGUAUUUAAAAAAAAAUGUUUAUGUAAAAAAAGGGGGAUGUUGUAUAUAUAUGUAUGUUACUCCUAGCGGUGUACUUUAGUAUUAGAGUACAUAAGAGAGAUAUGUAUAGAUGGGGGGAGGGAAGGAUAGAACAGGAACAAGGGAAGAAGUUCUAAAAUAAAGAACUAUAAGAAUAUAUUAUAAAUACAGUUCUGUUUUAACCCUUUAUCAGAUAGAUUUUUCUUCCCAUCCCCUUCUUCUUGUUCCUUCCUCUCUUAAGUUCCUCACGGUAUUAGCAUACACAACAGUUUGUGCCAUGGCCUGCUGUACCAAUCCAAAGGAUACCCAGUAUUUUGCAUUUCCUUC
rnacentral:lncRNA from 1 species